rnacentral:rRNA from 1 species
UACGUAGGGUGCAAGCGUUGUCCGGAAUUAUUGGGCGUAAAGAGCUCGUAGGCGGUUUGUCGCGUCUGCUGUGAAAACUCGGGGCUUAACCCCGGGCCUGCAGUGGGUACGGGCAGACUAGAGUGCGGUAGGGGAGACUGGAAUUCCUGGUGUAGCGGUGGAAUGCGCAGAUAUCAGGAGGAAUACCCAUAGCGAAGGCAGCUCGCUGGGACGUUACUGACGCUGAGGCGCGAAAGCGUGGGGAGCGAACAGG